UACGUAGGGCGCAAGCGUUAUCCGGAAUUAUUGGGCGUAAAGAGCUCGUAGGCGGUUUGUCGCGUCUGCCGUGAAAGUCCGGGGCUUAACUCCGGAUCUGCGGUGGGUACGGGCAGACUAGAGUGCAGUAGGGGAGACUGGAAUUCCUGGUGUAGCGGUGAAAUGCGCAGAUAUCAGGAGGAACACCGAUGGCGAAGGCACGUCUCUGGGCUGUAACUGACGCUGAGGAGCGAAAGCAUGGGGAGCGAACAGG
rnacentral:rRNA from 1 species